rnacentral:rRNA from 1 species
UACAGAGGUCUCAAGCGUUGUUCGGAUUCAUUGGGCGUAAAGGGUGCGUAGGUGGCGCCAUAAGUCGGGUGUGAAAUCUCGGGGCUUAACUCCGAAACUGCAUUCGAUACUGUGGUGCUUGAGGACUGGAGAGGAGACUGGAAUUCAUGGUGUAGCAGUGAAAUGCGUAGAGAUCAUGAGGAAGACCAGUGGCGAAGGCGGGUCUCUGGACAGUUCCUGACGCUGAGGCACGAAGGUCAGGGGAGCAAACGGG